AAACAGAGGGGCUGCUCUCCUUCAUCUUGUAUUUGGGAGGCUCACACUCCUCCAGAAUGAAAGACUAAAGGAAAAGUUUGUCUUUCCAUCUUGCCCUCCAGUCUUCCUCUGCUCAACUCUGGCCUAAACUUGGCCUAUUAGGAUGACCACAGUCAGACUGUGCACCCACGGUGUGGCAUGGUGCCUCUGCCUCCCAGCCUUCCCACUCGACCACAGAUAGCACUGCCAGGCCAGGCGCCGAGAGAGAAAACAGCCCAAGAUGGAGCUGACCUCAUGUCCUCUCAGAUCCGGGGGAGAGAUGUCAUCAGGACAUAAGCAGAAGAAUCAUGAGCAACAUCCAAGCAACAGCCCCAAAAGGAGAGAAUGCUUCUUUCUUAGCCCUUUUUCUUCUCACUGCUACAAUGUGGUUGUGAUGCCUGAGGUGUGAGCCGCCAUCUUGGACCAUGAAGUGGAAGUUCCACGUUGAUGAUAACAACAGAGAAACGAGACAGAAGGACCUUGGAUUUCAACACUGUGGCACCCUGUGCUAGCCCUGGACAUCGGUCCAAGCUGCUUUACACCAAGAGAAAAAUAAACUUCUAUGUU